rnacentral:rRNA from 1 species
GACGAACGCUGGCGGCGUGCUUAACACAUGCAAGUCGAACGGAAAGGCCCUGCUUUUGUGGGGUGCUCGAGUGGCGAACGGGUGAGUAACACGUGAGUAACCUGCCCUUGACUUUGGGAUAACUUCAGGAAACUGGGGCUAAUACCGGAUAGGAGCUCCUGCUGCAUGGUGGGGGUUGGAAAGUUUCGGCGGUUGGGGAUGGACUCGCGGCUUAUCAGCUUGUUGGUGGGGUAGUGGCUUACCAAGGCUUUGACGGGUAGCCGGCCUGAGAGGGUGACCGGCCACAUGGGGACUGAGAUACGGCCCAGACUCCUACGGGAGGCAGCAGGGGGGAAUAUUGCACAACGGGCGGAAGCCUGAUGCAGCAACGCCGCGUGCGGGAUGACGGCCUUCGGGGUGUAAACCGCUUUCGCCUGAGACGAAGCGUGAGUGACGGUAAUGGGUAAAGAAGCACCGGCUAACUACGUG